rnacentral:lncRNA from 1 species
CUUGGAGGACAGGAAGGAUGUAAUCUCUCCUGGUAAUAUCUUGGAGGACAGGAAGGAUGUAAUCUCUCCUGGUAAUAUCUUGGAGGACAGGAAGGAUGUAAUCUCUCCAGGUGAUAUCUUGGAGGACAGGAAGGAUGUAAUCUCUCCUGAGAAUAUCUUGGAGGACAGGAAGGAUGUAAUCUCUCCUGGUAAUAUAUUGGAGGACAGGAAGGAUGUAAUCACUCCUGGUAAUAUCUUGGAGGACAGGAAGGAUGUAAUCUCUCCUGGUGAUAUCUUGGAGGACAGGAAGGAUGUAAUCUCUCCAGGUGAUAUCUUGGAAGACAGGAAGGAUGUAAUCUCUCCAGGUGAGAUCUUGGAGGACAGGAAGGAUGUAAUCUCUCCAGGUGAUAUAUUGGAGGAUAGGAAGGUUGUAGUCUCUCCAGGUGAUAUCUUGGAGGACAGGAAGGAUGUAAUCUCUCCAGGUGAUAUCUUGGAGGACAGGAAGGAUGUAAUCUCUCCAGGUGAUAUCUUGGAGGACAGGAAGGAUGUAAUCUCUCCAGGUGAUAUCUUGGAGGACAGGAAGGAUGUAAUCUCUCCAGGUGAUAUCUUGGAGGACAGGAAGGAUGUAAUCUCUCCUGAGAAUAUCUUGGAGGACAGGAAGGAUGUAAUCUCUCCUGGUAAUAUCUUGGAGGACAGGAAGGAUGUAAUCUCUCCUGGUAAUAUAUUGGAGGACAGGAAGGAUGUAAUCUCUCCUGGUAAUAUCUUGGAGGACAGGAAGGAUGUAAUCUCUCCUGGUAAUAUCUUGGAGGACAGGAAGGAUGUAAUCUCUCCUGGUAAUAUCUUGGAGGACAGGAAGUAU